AAUGCAGGUUGUUCUAUCGCUGUCCCGAUUUAUCGGGAGAGAGGAAAGUCCGGGCAACGCAGGGCAUCUCGCUUUCUAACAGAAAGGGAUUCAGGAUUGAAAACCUGAAUUACGGAUCAGUGCAACAGAAAAUAUACCGCUUCGAUUUAUCGGAGUAAGGGUGAAAACGUGCGGUAAGAGCGCACGACAAUAUCAGGCGACUGCUAUUGAUUGUAAACCCCGGGAGUUGAAAGACCAAAUAGGCUAACGUAUGUAGGGCUGCCCGUCCGAUGUUAGUGGGUAGGUCGUUAGAGGUAAACGGCAACGUUUAUCCUGGAUAAAUGAUAGAAAUUCUGAAUAAUCAGGAAACAGAACCCGGCUUACAGACCUGCAUUUUUU
rnacentral:RNase_P_RNA from 1 species